CCUGCAUUCGAUACGGGCGAUCUAGAGUUUGGUAGGGGAGACUGGAAUUCCUGGUGUAGCGGUGGAAAUGCGCAGAUAUCAGGAGGGAACACCAUUGGCGAAGGCAGGUCUCUGGCCCAAUACUGACACUGAGGACCGAAAGCGUGGGGGAGCGAACAGGAUUAGAUACCUUGGUAGGUCCACGCGGUAACCGGUGGGCGCUAGUUGUGGGGACUUUCCACGGGUCUCUGCGACGCAGCUAACGCAUUAAGCGCCCCGCNUGGGGAGUACGAUCGCAAGAUUAAAACUCAAAGGGAAUGGACGGGGCCCCGCACAAGCAGCGGAGCAUGCGGCUUAAUUCGACGCAACGCGAAGAACCUUACCAAGGCUUGACAUAUAGGGAAAAGCGGCAGAGAUGUCGUGUCCGCAAGGGGCUCUAUACAGGUGGUGCAUGGUUGUCGUCAGCUCGUGUCGUGAGAUGUUGGGUUAAGUCCGGCAACGAGCGCAACCCUCGUUCUGUGUUGCCAGCAUUUAGUUGGGGACUCGCAGGAGACUGCCGGGGUUAACUCGGAGGAAGGUGGGGAUGACGUCAAAUCAUCAUGCCCCUUAUGUCUUGGGCUGCACGCAUGCUACAAUGGCCGAUACAAAGGGCUGCAAUACCGCAAGGUGGAGCGAAUCCCAAAAAGUCGGUCUCAGUUCGGAUUGAGGUCUGCAACUCGACCUCAUGAAGUCGGAGUUGCUAGUAAUCGUAGAUCAGCAACGCUACGGUGAAUACGUUCCCGGGGCUUGUACACACCGCCCGUCACGUCACGAAAGUCGGUAACACCCAAAGUCAGUGGCCCAACCGCAAGGAGGGAGCUGCCUAAGGUGGGAUCGGUGAUUGGGACGAAGUCGUAACAAGGUA
rnacentral:rRNA from 1 species